UACGGGGGGGGGCAAGCGUUGUUCGGAAUUACUGGGCGUAAAGGGCCAGUAGGCGGCCAACUAAGUCCGACGUGAAAUCCCCAGGCUUAACCUGGGAACUGCGUCGGAUACUGGAUGGCUUGAAUUCGGGAGAGGGAUGCAGAAUUCCAGGUGUAGCGGUGAAAUGCGUAGAUAUCUGGAGGAAUACCGGUGGCGAAGGCAGCUUGCUGGGACGGUACUGACGCUGAGACGCGAAAGCGUGGGGAGCAAACAGG
rnacentral:rRNA from 1 species